AUUCAAUGAAGUCCCGGUCNNCCGGGGAGUCCAUGNAGUNGGAUAUUUAGUGAGAAAGGGAGNGAAUUCCGUGUAAAGGGGAAAAUGUAGAGAUUUGGGGAAACCAGGGGAAGGGAAUUCUGGUCUCUAGUUGUCGCUGUGGAGCGAAAGAGUGGGGAGAGCACAGGAUUAGAUAUCCCGGUAGUNCCGCCCCNAACGAUNAGUGAUAAGGUUAGGGGUUUUCGCCCCUUAGUGCUGCAGCUAACGCAUUAAGCNGUCCGCCUGGGGAGUACGGUCGCAAGGUUGAACUCAAAGGAAUUGACGGGGGCCCGCACAAGCGGUGGAGCAUGUGGUUUAAUUCGAAGCAACGCGAAGAACCUUACCCGCUUUUGACAUCUUCGGACUCUCUUAGAGAUAGGGGGUCCCCUUAGGGGGCAGAGUGACAGGUGGUGCAUGGUUGUGUUCACAUCUUGUGUUGAGAUAUUGGGUUAAAUCUCCCAAAGAGAGCACCCCCUGAUUCUAGUUUCCAGCAUUCAAUUGGGCCCUUUAAGGUGGCUGCCGGGGACAAACCGGAGGAAGGUGGGGAAGACGUCAAAUCCUCAUGCCCCUUAUGACGUGGGCUACACACGUCUACAAUGGACAGAACAAAGGGCAGCAAACCGCGAGGNAAGCCAAUCCCACAAAUCNUUUUCAGUUCGGAUCGCAGUUUGCAACUUGACUGCGGGAAAGUGGAAUUGGUAGUAAUUGGGGAUCAGCAAUCCGCGGGGAAUACGUUUCCCGGGCCUUGUACACACCGC
rnacentral:rRNA from 1 species